CACAUCAGCUCGAGUGAGGAUACGCGCUAAACUUAAACAUAUCAGUCGGCGCACGCAAUAAAAACUAACCAGGAUUCCCUUAGUAACGGCGAGUGAAGUGGGAAACAUACUCGUUCAGCCCAACGAUAAAAUCCAUUCUUAGCUGGCUAGGCUUCUGUCUUCCAGCUGGAGGGAAUUGUAGCAUCGUAAAAUAAAUACACAAACGCACACAAUACACUGUGUAAAAAAACAUAUCAAAUGUUGUAUCUAACUUAACGUAAAAAAAUUACAUCGUUGCACUACAUACUUACCCAAACACACAGCGUUUAGCGCUGGAAAAGCAAGUCUAUUACAUGCCAUAGAGUGUGACAGCCACGUUUGCCUUUGGUAAACUUAACUACACGCAAUGUAUUGUAUGCUUUUACAAGAUACGUAAUUCAUUCGAUCAAUAACUAACAAACUUUAACCCUGAGUCGAGUUGUUUGGGACUACAGCUCAAAUUGUUUGGUGGUGGUAAUGACACAUCAAAGGCUAAAUAUUGGGUGUUUAAUACGAUUGCAACGGAGACCGAUAGCAACAAGUACCGUAAGGAAACGAUGAAAGCACCCUUUUAGCACGUGCGUCACUCUGUGUACGUACAAGCUCCAUCGGGAGUGAAAGAGAGAGUGAAAUCGCCUGACAUUUAAAUACACACUGUAUUAAUUCAGCGAAGUACAAUCGGACAGAGUGUCUUUGGCUCUCUUUUGAGCGUGGCGGGGCUGCUAUGUGCAUAUUUAUAUCACAUUGCAUGCUUUGCUUUCAUUCAAGACAUAACUAUUCGACCCGUUUUGAAACACGGACCAAGGAGUUCAACUGGAAUGCGAGUCGUAGAGUUAUUAAACUCAAAUCGGCGAAGCGAAAGCAAAUUUUGCGCGAAUCUUUUUUAUAAGAUGCAGCGCGGGCUGAUAAAGUAUGCUACGUAGAGCUUGCUGUGCGUGCACCUACUAAUUUUUUAGCAGGACUUAUCAAGCUAAAGAGCAAUUUAGUUGAGACCCGAAAGAUGGUGAACUAUGCUCGGACAUGGUGAAGCCAGGUGAAAACUUGGUGGAAGCUUGCGUUGUGCGGAACUGACGUGCAAAUCGUUACCGCCUGACCUGAGUAUAGGGGCGAAAGACUCAUCGAACCAUCUAGUAGCUGGUUCCCUCCGAAGUUUCCCUCAGGAUAGC
rnacentral:rRNA from 1 species